ensembl:lncRNA
UAGUCAAUGUGGAGGCUAUAUACAGGGGGUACCGGUACCGAGUCAAUGUGGAGGCUAUAUACUUAGUCAAUGUGGAGGCUAUAUACUUAGUCAAUGUGGAGGCUAUAUACAGGGGGUACCGGUACCGUGUCAAUGUGGAGGCUAUAUGCAGGGGCUACCGGUACCGAGUCAAUGUGGAGGCUAUAUACUUAGUCAAUGUGGAGGCUAUAUACUUAGUCAAUGUGGAGGCUAUAUACAGGGGCUACCGGUACCGAGUCAAUGUGGAGGCUAUAUACAGGGGGUACCGGUACCGAGUCAAUGUGGAGGCUAUAUACAGGGGGUACCGGUACCGAGUCAAUGUGGAGGCUAUAUACAGGGGGUACCGGUACCGAGUCAAUGUGGAGGCUAUAUACUUAGUCAAUGUGGAGGCUAUAUACAGGGGGUACCGGUACAGAGUCAAUGUGGAGGCUAUAUACAGGGGGUACCGGUACAGAGUCAAUGUGCUGUUGUACAGGAUAGUCAAGGUAAUUUGUAAUGUGUCUAUGCAUUGAUAGUAAACAGUGGGUAGGAGCAGUGUAAAAACAAUGUAGAUAGUCAGGGUGGCCAUUUGAAUAGUUGUUCAGCAGGUUUAUGGCUCGGGGGUAGAAGCUGUUAAGGAGUCUUUUGGUCCUAGACUUGGCGCUCCGGUACCGCUUGCUGUGCGGUAGCAGAGAGAACAGUCUAUGACUAGAGUAACUUGAGCCUUUGACACAUUUUUAGGCCCUUCCUCUGACACCAC